rnacentral:rRNA from 1 species
AUGGCUCAGGAUGAACGCUAGCUACAGGCUUAACACAUGCAAGUCAGGGGCAGCAUGUGGUUGCUUGCAACCAAUGAUGGCGACCGGCGCACGGGUGAGUAACGCGUAUCCAACCUUCCCCAUAGUAGAGGAUAGCCCGGCGAAAGUCGGAUUAAUACUCUAUGUUGUGUCGUGAGGACAUCUGAAUAACACCAAAGAUUUAUCGCUAUGGGAUGGGGAUGCGUCUGAUUAGCUUGUCGGCGGGGUAACGGCCCACCGAGGCAACGAUCAGUAGGGGUUCUGAGAGGAAGGUCCCCCACAUUGGUACUGAGACACGGACCAAACUCCUACGGGAGGCAGCAGUGAGGAAUAUUGGUCAAUGGGCGCGAGCCUGAACCAGCCAAGUAGCGUGCAAGGAUGACUGCCCUAUGGGUUGUAAACUGCUUUUUAUGCGGGAAUAAAGUCAGGUACGUGUACCUGUUUGUAUGUACCGCAUGAAUAAGGACCGGCUAAUUCCGUGCCAGCCGCAGC